rnacentral:misc_RNA from 1 species
GUGAGUCAUCGAAUCUUUGAACGCACAUUGCGCCCUUUGGUAUUCCUUAGGGCAUGCCUGUUCGAGCGUCAUUUUCACCUUCAAGCACAGCUUGGUGUUGGGCGUCUGUCCUCAGGGACUCGCCUCAAAAGGAUUGGCAGCCACUCCAGCGGCUUUGAGCGCAGCAGAUUUGCGUCCUCUAGCAGUCGGAGAUGGCAUCCAUAAGCUUACUUUUUAUUUUGACCUCGGAUCAGGUAGGGAUACCCGCUGAACUUAAGCAUAUCAAUAAGCGGAGGA